GAUGAACGCUGGCGGCGUGCCUAAUACAUGCAAGUCGAGCGAACGGACGAGAAGCUUGCUUCUCUGAUGUUAGCGGCGGACGGGUGAGUAACACGUGGAUAACCUACCUAUAAGACUGGGAUAACUUCGGGAAACCGGAGCUAAUACCGGAUAAUAUUUUGAACCGCAUGGUUCAAAAGUGAAAGACGGUCUUGCUGUCACUUAUAGAUGGAUCCGCGCUGCAUUAGCUAGUUGGUAAGGUAACGGCUUACCAAGGCAACGAUGCAUAGCCGACCUGAGAGGGUGAUCGGCCACACUGGAACUGAGACACGGUCCAGACUCCUACGGGAGGCAGCAGUAGGGAAUCUUCCGCAAUGGGCGAAAGCCUGACGGAGCAACGCCGCGUGAGUGAUGAAGGUCUUCGGAUCGUAAAACUCUGUUAUUAGGGAAGAACAUAUGUGUAAGUAACUGUGCACAUCUUGACGGUACCUAAUCAGAAAGCCACGGCUAACUACGUGCCAGCAGCCGCGGUAGUACGUAAGUGGCAAGCGUUAUCCGGAAUUAUUGGGCGUAAAGCGCGCGUAGGCGGUUUUUUAAGUCUGAUGUGAAAGCCCACGGCUCAACCGUGGAGGGUCAUUGGAAACUGGAAAACUUGAGUGCAGAAGAGGAAAGUGGAAUUCCAUGUGCAGCGGUGAAAUGCGCAGAGAUAUGGAGGAACACCAGUGGCGAAGGCGACUUUCUGGUCUGUAACUGACGCUGAUGUGCGAAAGCGUGGGGAUCAAACAGGAUUAGAUACCCUGGUAGUCCACGCCGUAAACGAUGAGUGCUAAGUGUUAGGGGGUUUCCGCCCCUUAGUGCUGCAGCUAACGCAUUAAGCACUCCGCCUGGGGAGUACGACCGCAAGGUUGAAACUCAAAGGAAUUGACGGGGACCCGCACAAGCGGUGGAGCAUGUGGUUUAAUUCGAAGCAACGCGAAGAACCUUACCAAAUCUUGACAUCCUUUGACAACUCUAGAGAUAGAGCCUUCCCCUUCGGGGGACAAAGUGACAGGUGGUGCAUGGUUGUCGUCAGCUCGUGUCGUGAGAUGUUGGGUUAAGUCCCGCAACGAGCGCAACCCUUAAGCUUAGUUGCCAUCAUUAAGUUGGGCACUCUAAGUUGACUGCCGGUGACAAACCGGAGGAAGGUGGGGAUGACGUCAAAUCAUCAUGCCCCUUAUGAUUUGGGCUACACACGUGCUACAAUGGACAAUACAAAGGGCAGCGAAACCGCGAGGUCAAGCAAAUCCCAUAAAGUUGUUCUCAGUUCGGAUUGUAGUCUGCAACUCGACUACAUGAAGCUGGAAUCGCUAGUAAUCGUAGAUCAGCAUGCUACGGUGAAUACGUUCCCGGGUCU
rnacentral:rRNA from 1 species